UUAUCAAAUUAAAAAAACCAAAAAAAAACAAAAAAAAAUCAGUUCAAAAUUGUUUGUCGCAAAAAAAAAAGUUCUUCAAAUAUUCUCCACUCUAAAAAAAGCUUCAGCAUCAACCCAACUGAAGAUGUGCGAACCAUGCGGUUUCUCCGUGGCACCUUGCGGCCCUUACGGACCCAUCGGUCCGUAUGGACCCAUCACCGCAUGUGGAGCUCAUGGUUUCUGUGGACCGCCGUGCAUACCGGACUCAUCACCAAAUCCACCAUGCUGCCCAUCGCCGUGUCCCGUAGGCGUUUGCCCGCCGCCAUGUGAUCCUUGCUCCAAUUGUUGUCCAAGUCCAUGUUGUCUCUGAAAAUUUUGGCUGUGAAGAGAAACAUAUUCCAUUGCAAAAUCAAGUGAUGUUUUGGCGCAUAUAUUGAGUUGAGUUGGGCUGGAAAAAAUUUGAGUUCAAACAUUGUUUUGCGGAGAUCUUCAUGCAGCUUUAUGGCUUGAAGGGUGUAUAGUUAAUCAAGAUCCGCUCCAUAGAACUCUGUUUAAGGCAAUGAAUGUGUUGAAAUGAUCGUGGAAUAUGAAAAUUUGUUUGGUCUUUGGUCCCCAUGAAUAAAUUUAUUGCAAUAGCACAAGA